rnacentral:RNase_MRP_RNA from 12 species
UUGAUCUUAGAGAGAAAGUCCCCAGGCCCUUCGGCCGUACCAAGGCAGCGAAGAGGACCAAAGUGUUGAACUCCAAGGUGGGUAAAUGAAUAUUGUUACGUGUUAUGAGCGAUAAGUU